UGGGGAAUAUUGCACAAUGGGCGAAAGCCUGAUGCAGCAACGCCGCGUGAGUGAUGAAGGCCUUCGGGUUGUAAAGCUCUGUCUUUUGGGACGAUAAUGACGGUACCAAAGGAGGAAGCCACGGCUAACUACGUGCCAGCAGCCGCGGUAAUACGUAGGUGGCAAGCGUUGUCCGGAUUUACUGGGCGUAAAGGAUGCGUAGGCGGAUUUUUAAGUGAGAUGUGAAAACCCUAAGCUUAACUUGGGACUGCAUUCAUACUGGAAAUCUAGAGUGCGGGAGAGGAGAAUGGAAUUCCUAGUGUAGCGGUGAAAUGCGUAGAGAUUAGGAAGAACACCAGUGGCGAAGGCGAUUCUCUGGACCGUAACUGACGCUGAGGCAUGAAAGCGUGGGUAGCAAACAGGAUUAGAUACCCUGGUAGUCCACGCCGUAAACGAUGAGUACUAGGUGUAGGAGGUAUCGACCCCCUUCUGUGCCGCAGUUAACACAAUAAGUACUCCGCCUGGGAAGUACGAUCGCAAGAUU
rnacentral:rRNA from 1 species